rnacentral:rRNA from 1 species
CGAAAGCCUGACGGAGCAACGCCGCGUGAGGGAUGAAGGCCUCUGGGCUGUAAACCUCUUUUAUCAAGGAAGAAGAUCUGACGGUACUUGAUGAAUAAGCCACGGCUAAUUCCGUGCCAGCAGCCGCGGUAAUACGGGAGUGGCAAGCGUUAUCCGGAAUUAUUGGGCGUAAAGCGUCCGCAGGCGGCCCUUCAAGUCUGCUGUUAAAACGUGGAGCUUAACUCCAUCAUGGCAGUGGAAACUGUUGGGCUUGAGUGUGGUAGGGGCAGAGGGAAUUCCCGGUGUAGCGGUGAAAUGCGUAGAUAUCGGGAAGAACACCAGUGGCGAAGGCGCUCUGCUGGGCCAUCACUGACGCUCAUGGACGAAAGCCAGGGGAGCG